rnacentral:rRNA from 1 species
CCGAUAGCUCCCAGUAGAGUGAUCGAAGAUGAAAGCACUUGAAAUAGAGUAACAGUACGUGAAAUUGUGAAAGGGAAGCGCUUGCAACCAGACUUGCGCGCGGCGGUUCCCCCUUCCUUUUGGUUGGGUUAUUCCGCCGUGUCCAGGCCAACAUCGGUUCUGGGGGUCGGUUAAAGGCCUGGGGAAUGUAUCUACCCUUCGGGCGUAGACUUAUAGCCCCGGGUGUCAUGCGACCUCCCGGGACCGAGGAACGCGCUUCGGCUCGGAUGUUGGCGUAAUGGUUGUCAGCGACCCGUCUUGAAACACGGACCAAGGAGUCUAACAUCUAUGCGAGUGUUUGGGUGUCAAACCCGGAACGCGGAAUGAAAGUGAACGGAGGUAGGAAGCUUCGGCUGCACUAUCGACCGAUCCUGAUGUCUUCGGAUGGAUUUGAGUAAGAGCAUAGCUGUUGGGACCCGAAAGAUGGUGAACUAUGCCUGAAUAGGGUGAAGCCAGAGGAAACUCUGGUGGAGGCUCGCAGCGGUUCUGACGUGCAAAUCGAUCGUCAAAUUUGGGUAUAGGGGCGAAAGACUAAUCGAACCAUUAAAAAGUUACCGGUGGUUAAGUGUAACCGUGAAAGCGGUUGCAAGUGCCAGGUUCUGGCGCGACACUGUCAAAUUGCGGGGACUCCCUAAAGCUUCCGACGACCGCCUCGCCCACGAAAGUGGGAGUGAGGCACCAGGUUAAUGGCCUCGGGUAUGGUAAAACUGUCGAAGAUGUAACAAUGGGUAAUCUGCAGCCAAGUCCUACGGGCCCCCCCUAAAAGGGGCCUACGGAUGCAGUUCACAGACUAAAUGGCAGUGGGCUCUCGAGUAAGCAGGGCUUAAGAUAUAGUCGGUCCCCUGGGGAAACCCAGGCGCAUACGCUAAAUCUGGAGUGAGGAACCCCCUCUGCGGUCACUCCAGACCUGAACGGUGCGGGCGCCCCUGUGUGUUG